GCUAAUACCGGAUAAUAUUUUGAACCGCAUGGUUCAAAAGUGAAAGACGGUCUUGCUGUCACUUAUAGAUGGAUCCGCGCUGCAUUAGCUAGUUGGUAAGGUAACGGCUUACCAAGGCAACGAUGCAUAGCCGACCUGAGAGGGUGAUCGGCCACACUGGAACUGAGACACGGUCCAGACUCCUACGGGAGGCAGCAGUAGGGAAUCUUCCGCAAUGGGCGAAAGCCUGACGGAGCAACGCCGCGUGAGUGAUGAAGGUCUUCGGAUCGUAAAACUCUGUUAUUAGGGAAGAACAUAUGUGUAAGUAACUGUGCACAUCUUGACGGUACCUAAUCAGAAAGCCACGGCUAACUACGUGCCAGCAGCCGCGGUAAUACGUAGGUGGCAAGCGUUAUCCGGAAUUAUUGGGCGUAAAGCGCGCGUAGGCGGUUUUUUAAGUCUGAUGUGAAA
rnacentral:rRNA from 1 species